CCGUGGGCAUCUGGUCCACCAUAUCUUUUUUCAUGGCUUAAUCCUCAAAUAUCAGCUCAGGACAUGAUGCAUCCGGAGUUGCUGGCUAAGCUUGUUUCAAACAACUUUUGUACAGUGCCUGCAAAGGUUGUUCUGCAACUUACAACCGCUUUCAGGGAAGGUGGGCUGUGCAACCGAAAUGGAACCUUCUCAUACAAGGAUCAUUUGCGAGAGUGUCAGACUCCUGUCCUUGCAUUGGCUGGAGAUAAAGACCUAAUCUGCCCUCCAGAUGCUGUUUAUGAAACUGUGAAACUCAUUCCGAAUCACAAGGUGGACUAUAGAGUGUUUGGAAAGCCACAAGGCCCACAUUAUGCACAUUAUGACUUGGUUGGAGGCCGACUGGUAUGUACUCUGUACGAUGAUUCCUAGCAUGAGGAGUUCAUAUUGAAUUUGACACUAGCGGACAGCUCGACAACGGUGAAAUAGUCGACAGGAACACGCCUGUGCUGAUCGAUGCCCUGAGCUCAGACGGUUCUGCCUGCAAGAAGCUGGAGUCAUCCACGACAGCCCCGUUCGCAGGUCUGGUUCGUCGUCGGACUCUGACUC